CUGGUUGAUCCUGCCAGUAGUCAUAUGCUUGUCUCAAAGAUUAAGCCAUGCAUGUCUAAGUAUAAGCAACCUAUACUGUGAAACUGCGAAUGGCUCAUUAUAUCAGUUAUAGUUUAUUUGAUAGUCCCUUACUACUUGGAUAACCGUAGUAAUUCUAGAGCUAAUACAUGCAUCAACUCCCAACUGCUUCGGCGGACGGGAUGUAUUUAUUAGAUGGAAACCAAUACCGAGUUUUCUCGGUUUUUGUGGUGAAUCAUAGUAACUGUGCGAAUCGACUUCGGUCGAUGGUUCAUUCAAGUUUCUGCCCUAUCAGCUUUCGAUGGUAGUGUAUUGGACUACCAUGGCAGUCACGGGUAACGGAGAAUAAGGGUUCGAUUCCGG
rnacentral:rRNA from 10 species